AUCAGGGGCACGUAAAGGAGAGGUGUGGGCAGUUGCUCGCUCUCUCAUUCGUUUGGCUUAGGAAAGGACGGCCGCUGGAAAACCUCGCCCUGCCAUCCCAACGACGGGAGCUGCCUUUCGUCGGCUGUGGGACCCCACACCCCACUGUUCGGACGCCCUCCUGCUUCAGUCUGCCAACUCUAAGCAUCCUGUUGGAGCACCGGGACCGACACUGCCCCCAAGGAUCCCUUUAUAUGCUGAGCACACCACCACAUGAUAUGGACUAUCCCUUGGGUGAAUUGGAUUCAGCUGCCCCAGUUGUGUCCCCCUUGUGUUCGUCCAGCUCCCUCGGUGGUGGGGUGGCGUGAGCGGAAGAAAAGACCUUGGCGCCCUAAUGAGAACGGCAAAUCAAGACUCUUGAUGUCACUGGGAAGUGUGCCUCUGCUUGGGUGACCUCUACAUCUGGCCGAGGGAUAAAUCCCUGCAUCCACUGGGUGACAGCUAUGCUAUAUACUUCAUUUACAACUGGCUAAUUAGUAGAAGAGGCCCCAGGGAUUUGGCAGUAUUUGGGAAGCUUGUUGUGCCAUCACGGACAGUGGCCAACCAAGGCCAAGUUCUGCACUGACUGCCUUUCCCUCUCAUGGGAACAACUGGAGAAGGCACUGCACUGGUAGAAAAAACAAUGCUCAAAAGCAUGACAUAAACUGACAUAUUUCCCCUCUACAGCAGUACCCCAUCAAGUAUUACUUAUUUAAGACUGAUGAGAUAUUCAGUUAUUUUCAGGACUUUUUCUGAAUUCUGCUUAUUAAGGAGCACCAACAUCCAGUCCUCUUGAAGAUUUAAUCCCUUGAUUCUUCAAGAAUACUUAGUUUUUCUGGAUGCAAGGAAAAAAACCACAUUUUAUCUGCCUUUUCCACUUCACAGUGAAAUCAGUCUACAUUUUUACCCCAACACUCUUUAUCUUCUAAGACUUUAUAUCUAUCAGUAAAAAAAAAAAAAAAAAAAAAAAGCAGCAACUUUUAAAUGUAAAUGGUGAAUUUUUUGAGGUUCACGUAUUUGGCUCUGAUUGUCUGGCCAACAACUUUAAGCUGUGUUGUUCUUCCAAGCUGCAAGGCUCUUGAGACAGGGCCUAUGUCUCCCUCCAGGUACUGUAAAUGUCAAUCACACAGAGUGUUCAAUAAAUGAAUAAUGAUGGUUUUCUUACUGCUUUAUGAUGAUAUGUUUC